AGUUUGUUGUGUUACGUUCAGUGCUAAUUCUUGUGUCCAUUAUUUUCAGAUGAUUUUAAUUUUAUAAAAUUACUGAGGACCCCUUCCAUUGACAUGAUUGCACGGAACCACAAGCCGGCUUCUUUUCUGGAAUGGGUCCUCAGAUUUGGAGGUUAACGUUCGAAGACAGAGCAGAGCUGAUGCUUCCCGAGCCUGGACCGGUGGACAGGAGGCUGUGACGAUCGGUAUGGAAGAGCUCCCAUUCCGUGGCUGCAGCGGCCACCUCUCCUCAACUCGGUUAGACGUCCCCAAGGUCAGAGCGUUCCUCGUUUUUUUUAAAGGCGCCCAACAUAAAUAAAUUUUUUAAUUAAUUAAUAAUUUACCUUUUACCCGGUCUUCCAGUACCAGAACUACUGACUCACCCCUAUGCUCUAAAUUUUAGGUAUUUGUUUUUUUUUUAAGUAAAUAGACUGAGCUAGCGAUAUAAGUUAUAAUAAGGGUAGUUUCAUUGCCUACCAGUUAGGCGUUACUAAGUAGUGUAUUAUUACUUUCGAAAUUAUUUUCAAAAAGUAAGUUAAUUAAAAAGUUAUUUUCUAUAUAAA
rnacentral:lncRNA from 1 species